rnacentral:lncRNA from 1 species
CCUGGAUGCCAAGCUGACAAGACUUGCAUGCCUGAGCUCCACAAACCAGGUAAGAAAUUCGACGAUAAACCCAGGCCGCUUCCUCACCUGAACCAGUGCCGACAUUGUCCUAGUCAAGGGAACAACGGCGCACCCAGUGACACUAAACUUUGGCGCUUCACCUACCGGAACGCUGCCAUUGAGGCUUGCGGCCUACACAAGUGUGGGCUCCAGAGAGACGGCCGCUCUCUGAGUCCUUUACCUGGCAGAGUGAGUCCAACGACAGGCUUCCCCCCCCUUUGGACCGGUGGGAGUCAUCUCUGUCUCCCCUGCCACACUCCUUCUGACCCAGCUGGCUAUAUGCUGCUGACCUGCUACACACUCAAGCUAACGCAAUCAUGGUUAAAAUGGCAGCUGCACUCGAUUUCAGACAGCCUAACAAAUCACACCCGGCGAGACCCAGGCCAGACCCCUUUGAGCGACUAACACUUAACGUAGACACAAUCCUGGCAAGAUUCUGGGUGAAAAUGGAGGCUCAUGAAGUGGAGACAUCGCACAAGUUACAGGAGACAGGGCUUCGCACCGACCUGCAAGAGGUGAGCGGGUCCCCUCUGGGCGCACCCCCCGUCAAGCAUUUGGAAAUACUCCAUCAGGCCCUCCUGGGCAUAAGACCACCAGGGAUAGAAUACCCUUGCAUUUGCCAUGGAGGCUGAAGUACCACCGCCGCUGGCGGCUACGUACCACCAGGAGCUUCUGCCGUCCUUUGAAAGGGAGAGACUUGGCCUUGUGUUGGCAAAUCCGAGUAUGUGGCCGGGGCUGGAGGGCUCCCACGCUCGACUCCUGACUUGAAAUGCCCCCUGACAGCCUCCACGCCUCUCCCAACCGGGGAAUAGGCUGAAGAUGGACUCUCUGGACGGGGUUAACCCUUAUCCCACCACUGAACUGUCUGCUGCUGCAACUUAUUGGGUUUCUAAUGUUUACUCUUUUUAUGUUUACUCUUUUUAUGGUAAUCAUUACUACUACUACUCACAAAUAAGGUGCCUUGUCGGGAAAUCUUGUGCCUCCAUGGCCAAUGUAGCUAUGAUUUUUGGGAGUGUUGCCCGGGGGGUUAUUCCUUAUUACUGUCUUCGUGCAGUAUGGCAUGUUUUAUAAUUUAAUUGUUUUGGGGCCGACUUAUCACUAAGCUGAGCAUGCUGCAAUAACAUACCUAUCGCAUGCAAAAGGUAGACUCGAUGUCCCUUUAACGGUGGUUAACCCCUACCUUACUAUAUAUGGUGUUAAGCUGUCUACCUAACCCUGACAUCACUGAUUUACCAUAAGCUAUUCCCCAUAUACAUAGCAAGUAAUAUGCCCUAAGAUGGGCGGUGUACAUCCUGCGACAAUACUCUGAUAAUCCACUCAUGUUCAUACUGUUACUAUCAUAUGUGCAUAUCUAACACAUUUUUGUUGUGGCUACACCAAGGUUUUCAGUCAUACUUGCUAAGGCAUUAUCUAGCUAAUCCUCCACUACGUCUCUAGACAUGUUGAACAAGCCAGUUGCCUAUAUGUUCAGUAUUAUUAUUUUAUUAUUUUAUUUUAGAAUUUGGGCAGAUUCAGCGAAUGGUCUAGCUGAAUUAUUCUGGGCUGCGCACAGACAAGCUAUGUUUCGGCUAAGCUUGUGGCUCCAUAAUAUCACAAAACUACCAGCUUGUUUAUGCUAAAUGAAUAACCUGUUUGUCUUAUCUCACAGCUGACAUGUUAGUUCCACUCUUGCUAAACCUACAUUAAAAUAUAAAAUGUGUAAUGUUAUAUUAUGUUAUAUUAUACCACUCAAAGGUCGCUAAUAUGUUGACCAUUAUGCUUGCAAUCGCUGUCGUGGCAUUGCUUGUUGCUUUUCCUUUAAUGCACGAUAAAAUAAAGAACUAUUAAAUAAAAUCAAGGAUGUGCAUAGUAAUUAUACAGGAGAGAUUCCUUCCCUCGAGAGGUGCAUAUUAAUAACUGUCAGGAAUUGAAAGUUAAAUGUAUAUCUCAUAAUUCUGAGAAUAUAGAGGUUAAUAAACUGUCUUUAGGUGGAAACAGAAAUUAAUGGAAGCCCUCCAGUCUAGAAGAGAUGUGUUCUCAAACAGAAACAUCUAUGUAGGAUGUGCUCAGUGUGCCCAAACAGACCAAAUUAGUGAUUCAUCUCUUUUUAGAAACAGAGAUCUUAAAGUAAUGAAGUAGUUAAGCUAUACCGCCAUUCAUUAAUGUAUAUCUUAGAAGCAUGAUAUAUUCAUAUUCUGUCCUCUGCAGUCUCUUCGUGAAAUGAUCAGUUAUAGACUUACAGCCUCAAGUGACUCCUUGGAGACAUCUAUUUCUAACAGCUGGAGCUAUUUCUGCUAGAAAGAUCCUAUGUCACAUUAAAUAGCUCAUGGGAGCAGGUGAUGGCAAAUCCAUUUAAAAGGCAUUGAACAAGAUGGUGGGAAAGGUGACAUUUAAAAUAUAGUCAUAUUAUAUGAACGUAAGCUAUACAGAAUACGUCUACUGUUAAGAUGCUAGUCAUUUAUGAAUGUAAAUGGCUUUAAAAUGAAACAGUAUAAGCAAUCAGCCAAUCAGCAAAUACAUAGAAUUCAAAAUAAGGAUGAAUUGCCAGGAAAUACACAGGAAACCAAAAUCCAAAGACACAUCCACUUCCAGGGAUGUGUCCAAAAUCCAAAGACACAUCCACUUCCAGGGAUCCUUUUUAAUAUUAGCUGGUACCAUGUGUGCUGGGUUGAUGAUGUUGGGGAUUUUUAGUGGACCAAUUAAUUUACCAGUUUGGGUAAAUUCUAAGAAUAAAGAAUUUCGAUAGCUAUAGCAUUCAUACUCAAACUCCUGUAAAUGUGUUCUUCGAUACAAGUUCAAUGUGUUUUAAUAUUUCUGUCUUUUUAAACAUUUCUGGACUACUCAUUUGGCAGAGUCCUGGCAGCAUAAUAAACAUGUAAACUAAAAAUAAAACAAUCGUGCCAUUAUUUACUGUCAAGGAAAGUUAGCAUGCUGUCAGAUAAUGUAAUGCACAAUUCUG